rnacentral:rRNA from 1 species
UGGGGAAUUUUGGACAAUGGGCGCAAGCCUGAUCCAGCCAUGCCGCGUGCGGGAAGAAGGCCUUCGGGUUGUAAACCGCUUUUGUCAGGGAAGAAAUCUUCUGAGUUAAUACCUCGGGAGGAUGACGGUACCUGAAGAAUAAGCACCGGCUAACUACGUGCCAGCAGCCGCGGUAAUACGUAGGGUGCAAGCGUUAAUCGGAAUUACUGGGCGUAAAGCGUGCGCAGGCGGUUUUGUAAGACAGAGGUGAAAUCCCCGGGCUCAACCUGGGAACUGCCUUUGUGACUGCAAGGCUUGAGUGCGGCAGAGGGGGAUGGAAUUCCGCGUGUAGCAGUGAAAUGCGUAGAUAUGCGGAGGAACACCGAUGGCGAAGGCAAUCCCCUGGGCCUGCACUGACGCUCAUGCACGAAAGCGUGGGGAGCAAACAGGAUUAGAUACCCUGGUAGUCCACGCCCUAAACGAUGUCAACUGGUUGUUGGGAAGGUUCCUUCUCAGUAACGUAGCUAACGCUGAAGUUGACCGCCUGGGGAGUACGGCC